rnacentral:rRNA from 1 species
AGCGAACGCUGGCGGCAGGCUUAACACAUGCAAGUCGAACGGAUCCUUCGGGAUUAGUGGCGGACGGGUGAGUAACACGUGGGAACGUGCCCUUUGGUUCGGAACAACUCAGGGAAACUUGAGCUAAUACCGGAUGUGCCCUUCGGGGGAAAGAUUUAUCGCCAUUGGAGCGGCCCGCGUCUGAUUAGCUAGUUGGUGGGGUAAAGGCUCACCAAGGCUACGAUCAGUAGCUGGUCUGAGAGGAUGAUCAGCCACAUUGGGACUGAGACACGGCCCAAACUCCUACGGGAGGCAGCAGUGGGGAAUCUUGCGCAAUGGGCGAAAGCCUGACGCAGCCAUGCCGCGUGAAUGAUGAAGGUCUUAGGAUUGUAAAAUUCUUUCACCGGGGACGAUAAUGACGGUACCCGGAGAAGAAGCCCCGGCUAACUUCGUGCCAGCCGCCGCAGUAACAC